rnacentral:lncRNA from 1 species
UUUUUAAAAAAUAAUAGUCAAAAGAAUUUUUAUUAUAAAAUGGAGAGAAUAUUAUUUAUUGUACGUGAACUAUCGAUGCAUAUAAUCAGUUGUUUAGUAAUCAUUAGUUUUGAUAGUUCUUAAUGGAAUUAGUACACCUAAUGGUUAAUAUAGAUUUACAUGUACAAAGGCUUUUAAAAAAAAAAAAAAAGAGAGAGAGGUCGACCAUCAUGCACGUAAUCUUUGAUUUCAGCUGACUAAGUAUAAUGUAAAUACGUACUAUGUCAAAUUAUCAACCAUCUAGGUAUAGUUUAAAUGUAGGUUACGUUAUGCCAACUAAAAAGAUUCACAUAUACGUCUUCUUAAUAAUAAAAAGCGUACUAUUUGAUAAUAUUAUAUACUGACAAAAAAAAAGAAAUAAAACGAGCCUUUGCAAAGGAAUCAUCACACCUAACCUAUAUAGCUGAUAAAGAAAGAUUUCAAUAUUUGAUCAGAACAACAGAUUGGUUGGCUCUUCAAGUUGGAUAGGAGACAUAUUUGUGUGUGAC